GCAUCAACUACGCCCACACUCCUGAGGAGAGGACUAAUCAGGCAUUGAGUAGAAACACCUGUAGACCAAAGGGUGUGUAGUGUGUGUUUAAACACAACAUGACCUCUUCUUUUGUAAAGCUAACUCUGAAACACAGACUUCAAAAGACCUUUGUUUUGUACUUUCGAAACAGGUCAUCUUACUUUUCGUGGAUAAAGACAGAAACAGAUGGAGAGACAGGGAAAGAGGAGGAGGUGAUGGAGGAUUCAAAAUGCCCAGCAGAAGAACAACAGCUUCCAACCCCAUCCCUCCCUCUCCUCCUCAUCCUCUUCCUCCCCAACGGCCUCCUCUUCGCUCACGUCGCAAAUCCAAGUCACCUUCAUCCCGCUCCAACCACUCGACCCCAAAACGAGCCUUGGACUUGGACAAUAUCGGGGCCCCAACUGACAAAGAGGACAGCAGGCGAGCCCACAGAGGGUCCCGGGACCUCCGGGGGCCUCGGGGUUCAGAACUGGACAGGAAGUGGGAGGGUGUGGCCUUGGAGCUGCGUUGCCGUGGCAGCAGGAUGAGGUCCGCAGUGUACCAGACUUCAGACUCGCCCUCCAUGGUCAAAGCCAAGAAACAGUUGGAACAGAGUGAGGGCAAAGGGCAGAUAGACCGGAGUAAAUUGAAAGCAACCUUUGUUUGAGGAGCUCGACGUUGAGCUGAUUCACAGACCUGAUGAUGUCGCCUGUGACUCUGACCACACUGACGGCGUCUGCAGCAGCUGAAACAUUGUCAAGUUGAGGUGAAGGUCUUAGUGUCAACAACUGUGCAGCUGCUCCCAGACUCUACACCGAGGGCUGCUAUUAGAAGUAUAUAAUAUAGCGAAUAUUGUACUUUUAAUUCAACUGCACCUUUUAUUUUUAUUUAUUUUUACAGCUAUUAUUACAAAAAAAACAUAUUGCCUUUAUAAAAUAUAAUGAAUGUUUAGAUGAAAAUGCCCAGCUCCAAGAACACUUCAGAAAAAAGGAAACAAUUCAAUCUUAUUUUGCUUUAUUCUAUUUGUCUAAAUGUGAAGAUGAAUUGGCAGUGUCAUUCCAAACUCACAGACGGAUGUACGCCACCUCAUGUUUUGAAUAAUAAAGUAUAGUUGUACUGUAUCUCAUUAACUGCAUAAGCAGUAUCUAAAACAUUUAGUUUUUGUAUACAGUAUGUACUAUAUACUAUGUAGUACAUAAUUGGGACACAGUAAUGCACUUGGGCCAGCUGUCAACCUUCUCCAUCACUAUGUGUUGUGUCCUUGCAGAGCAAUACUUUAACACCAGUAGUUCUUUGGUUCUGUAUUUUGACAUAAAUCUGUGAGUUAAAGGGGAACUCAAGGGAUUUAGUAUUGCUCUUCCAAAAACUCGGAUGAUGAUGUGCAAACAGACAAACUCGAAGCAGCACAGGCUGAAAUAUUCUGACUCUCAGUCUUCAUUGUGGGUCAAGCUCUUAAAAUGUUGGCUUCUUUAGUUGUUAUAAUACAACUUCACAGCGUCUUUUGCUAGAUCCUCCUUUACUGGUAAACGCCCACGUCUUUAAAACUCUGCGACCCCAGUUUGCAACACAGACUUAAGAAUGCGCAGCCUUCACCCCUGACGACUACAUCAGGGUUACUUUUCAGAAUUGAACAAACUUGUGCAGAGCCACAGAUGACAUCAUACAGCUGUUUUCACAAACUAAGUAGGCUACUACUAAUCAUGGUGAGGAGACAAAUAAUGAAAACUGUAUCAGUAUUAAAGUUCCUCUUUUACAUGUCAAUCACCUACAUUACAAUUAAAUAUGAACAUUUUGAAAAGAAAACCCAAGGACAUUUCCAGUUGUCUGCGUUACUUAGUAUAACGCUGUGAAGGAAAGACACUUUGUGAGAUAAGUGUUCCAGGCACCAGCUAGUUCAUUCAAUUCACCGGUCGUUCCAGAAAUAAAUGCCCCUGAAAGAGACCCUGGAAGUAAUACCACCCCUAAACAUCCAGUCUUGAGUCAAGUGCCUUGGUCUUACUGUAUAUUGGUAAAUGGAUAUAGCACUUUUGCAAUCUUUGUGACCACUCAAAGUGCUUUACACCACAUGUUGGCUAUGCAAAUUGGGGUACAGUAUCUUACCCAAGGGCCCUUUGACCUGUGGACGACCACUCUACCUCCUGAGCCACAGUUGCUAUAUUACACUGGACCUUGAUGCUGAGAGACAACGGAAUCAGCAGGACUGCUGUAUUCCCUCAUUUUGCAGCCAGGAUGUUCAUAUGAACAUAAUGCAUAAUAAAGUAUUUUCUUGACUAGUAAUCUUGCAUGAUCAUUUAUUUAUUGUUGGGGAUUUGAAGCUAAUUUGCUCAUUUUACAUC
rnacentral:lncRNA from 1 species